rnacentral:rRNA from 1 species
AGUGAACGCUGGCGGUAGGCCUAACACAUGCAAGUCGAACGGCAGCACAGAGGAGCUUGCUCCUUGGGUGGCGAGUGGCGGACGGGUGAGGAAUACAUCGGAAUCUACUCUGUCGUGGGGGAUAACGUAGGGAAACUUACGCUAAUACCGCAUACGACCUACGGGUGAAAGCAGGGGAUCUUCGGACCUUGCGCGAUUGAAUGAGCCGAUGUCGGAUUAGCUAGUUGGCGGGGUAAAGGCCCACCAAGGCGACGAUCCGUAGCUGGUCUGAGAGGAUGAUCAGCCCCACUGGAACUGAGAAACGGUCCAGACUCCUACGGGAGGCAGCAGUGGGGAAUAUUGGACAAUGGGCGCAAGCCUGAUCCAGCCAUACCGCGUGGGUGAAGAAGGCCUUCGGGUUGUAAAGCCCUUUUGUUGGGAAAGAAAUCCAUCUGGUUAAUACCCGGGUGGGAUGACGGUACCCAAAGAAUAAGCACCGGCUAACUUCGUGCCAGCCGCCGCGGUAA